GCCAGCAGCCAUAUCGCCCUGCAACUCACGACAGACAGCCCGCUAAAGCUAAGGAGAUGUAAGCCUGGUCAGUAGCUGGAUGGGAGACCACCUGGGAAAGUUAAGGUUGCUGCUGGAA
rnacentral:rRNA from 1 species